rnacentral:rRNA from 1 species
GACAGAGGGUGCAAACGUUGUUCGGAAUUACUGGGCGUAAAGCGCGUGUAGGCGGCUAAGUAAGUCGGGCGUGAAAUCCCAGCGGCUCAACCGUGGAAGUGCACUCGAAACUGCAUAGCUAGAGUCCUGGAGAGGAAGGUGGAAUGCUUGGUGUAGAGGUGAAAUUCGUAGAUAUCAAGCGGAACACCGGUGGCGAAGGCGGCCUUCUGGACAG